UCACUUUGGCAGUGCAUAUAUUAAAACUGGAACGAUACAGAGAAGAUUAGUGUGGCCGCUGUGCAAGAUGACAUGAGAAUUCGUGAAGUGUUCCACAUUGUU